AUGACGCUGCGCGACGGUGCCGUGGACCUGUGGGCGAUGGCCGCGGAGCUGGAGCGGCAGUUCGCCGGGUACAAGCAGCGCCUGGCCUCCUCCGGGAGGAUCAGCAGCCUCGUCGACGUCGACGACGACGCCCACGUCCUCGUCCUCGCCCCCGCACCCGAUGACGACGCCGGCGGCGGUGUCGUGGGCAACGGCCGCGUCGAGGAGGAGGAGGACGCGGCGGUCGGAGGCGUGCGGGGGAGGAUGUACGAGGCGUACACGCGGCGGCGGGACGAGCGGCUGCGCUCUGUUUGGCGCGCGCGCAUGGAGCGCAAGGAGGCUGAGGUCAUGGCGCUCUGGGCGCAGCUCGACGCCCGCGCCGGGCCCGGACGCGGCGGCGCUGGCCCGGCCACCGCGGAGGACGGCGGCGCGGCCGGAGAGCAGGAAACCGAGGGCGGCGGCGAGAGGAGAAGGAGCUCUGACGUGGCUGCUCCGGGCAUGGUCUCCGGCAAGAAGCACCCGCGCACCAGGAGGAGCUUCUCGUCGGCCAACCUGGUCAAAAGCACCCGCCCUGACGUCGGGAUACGGCGCGCGGUCUCGCAGGAACCACCCGAGCCACCGGCAGGCACUGACGACGGCGCCGGCAGGAAGCACGGCCACCGAGCCCGGCCAGUGACCGGCGCCGCGCCGAAGCGCAAGGCCUUGUCGGGGAGCAAGAGCGCCUCGACGAAGGGGCACGGCUCACUCAGGCAGGCUGGCCCGAAGCCGAAGCCGCCGCGCAGCUUCCCCCGGCCGUCCAGCUCCGGCGGCAUGGAGGUUGUCAGGGAAGCAGCGCUGCCGCAGAACGCGAACGUGGCUGCACCGAUGAGCGACCUUGGUGCUGCUUCCGACAUUGGUGAAGCUCAGAAGGCUUCUUCCCGAAUACCGUUCUUGGCGUGUGACAAUGGCACUGUCACCGAGAACGCGCGAGCCGCUUCGCCGGCAUCAGAUGGCGGCGAGGUAGUGGACAGUGCAGCUCCAGCAGUAGAUGGCGACGAACCUGAAGCGAAGAAUGGAGAGCUCGCCAGCGACCUGGAGAGACGCGAUGCCGAGGAGAUCGUGGUGCGGUCGCCGGAGGCGAAGCUUGGUAACGGAGAGAUCACCAGCGACUCGGAGACCGAGCCGAGCUACGUCUUCAUCAAGAAGAAGGCCGUCGUUGAGGAGGAGGAAGCCGCGAGGCUCUCUGACGCAUUGGCUGGACCAGGAUCUGAUGAACCACAUAUCCAGGUCAGGAAUGGCACAGACGAGGUGCCGACGGCGGCGAAUGCCGAAGAAGCGCCGGCGAGGGGAAGCGCCGACUCGGUCUCCUCCAUGUCAGGCCGGGGCUCCGCUCCCAGCAGCCCGCCCUCCUGCAGCUCCCGGGCCCAGUCCAUCGAGAGGCUGCUCGGGGAGGACGCCGCGCAGCUGCGGAAGAGGCGAGAGGACCAGAGCGCCACCGGAGGGAGGAGCGUCCCGGCGGUGUCGACACCGGGCAGCGCGGGGAGAAGGGCCUACGGCGCGGUGCCGACGACGUCUCCGAGAGGGACGGCGAUGGGGUUCAAGAAGAGGUUCCUGAGCUUCGGGAAGAAGAACAGAGGCAGCAGGGAGGGCGCUACCACGGUCAUCGUCGACUGCAGCUCUCCGACGAUCGACGACGACGACGGCGCGAACGAGCGGUGGCCGGCCGCCGCCGACUCGAUCAGGCCCAGGAUGCUGGGCUCCUCCCCGGACGCUGCCUCCGACGACACGGAUCAAUAUGCCGCCUCGCCACAGGCCUGCUCUCUGCAGAGCCUCGUGGCUGCUGCUGCUUCUCCUGCAAAGUCUGAGCUGUGUGAGAUAGUUCCACCAGAGAAAUCACCAAAAGCUCACCGUUCGUUCUUCUCGCUCCGGUCCUUCAACUGUGGCCGGAGCUAG
rnacentral:rRNA from 1 species